rnacentral:misc_RNA from 1 species
GUUGAGUCUAUCUUACUCCGAUACAUGUAAUUCCUGUGUUUUGCAAAAGUAAAUUUGGUCUAGUCUCUCACUUAGCUAACAUACAAGUUUACACGGAUCUUGGAAAUAAACAGCCCCAUGCGCAACCCAACAAAAGUAAGUUGAUGAACCCAUUAAACAACUACACCAGAAGCCAAAUCUUCCAAGCUCUAAGACAAGGACAUCCAAAAUUCCACCCUGC